rnacentral:rRNA from 1 species
GAUGAACGCUAGCGGCAGGCUUAACACAUGCAAGUCGAGGGGCAGCGCGGGAUAGCAAUAUCCUGGCGGCGACCGGCGGAAGGGUGCGUAACGCGUGAGCGACAUGCCCGUUGCCCGGGGACAACCGGUGGAAACGCCGACUAAUCCCCGAUGGGAUAUUGUGCCGCAUGGCACGAUAUUGAAAGUUACGGCUGCGACGGCUUGGCUCGCGUCCGAUUAGCUGGUUGGCGGGGUAACGGCCCACCAAGUCUGCGAUCGGUAGGGGUUCUGAGAGGACGGCCCCCCACAAUGGGACUGAGACACGGCCCAUACUCGUGAGGGAGGCAGAAGUGAGGAAUAUUGGUGAAUGGGCGGAAGACUGAACCAGCCCUGCCGAGUGCGGGAAGGAGGCCCUAUGGGCUGUGAACCGCUUUUGGCUGGGGGCAAUAAGGGCGUCGCGCACGUCCGAUGAGAGUACCAGGCGAAUAAGCAUCGGCUAACUCCGUG